ACCGGAUACAUACUCAGCGGGCGAACGGGUGAGUAACACGUGGGUAAUCUUCCUCUGAGUGUGGGAUAACUUUCCGAAAAGGGAAGCUAAUACUGGAUGGUCCCGAGAGAUCAUAGAAUCGGGCUCGUCACCAUUUAUUGCUCGGAGAUGAGCCCGCCCUCCCUAUAUACUCUACGUUGAGUGAGGUAUAUGCUNCUCUCACACUGCGCACGAUCGGUUCCCGGACUGAGAGGAUGAUCAGCCACGUUGGAACUGACACACCGCCCAUACUCCUUGCGGAUGCGCUUGUUUUGAAUGUUGCUCACUCGCGGGAA
rnacentral:rRNA from 1 species